GAGCGGGAUUGGUAGCAAUACCAUGAGAGCGGCGCACGGGUGAGUAACGCGUACACGACCUACCUCUGACAGGGGGAUAGCCCUGGGAAACUGGGAUUAAUACCGCAUAUUAUUCUGAUUAAUAAAGGAUUGGAAUGAAAGUUCAGGCGGUCAGAGAUGGGUGUGCGUCUGAUUAGCUAGUUGGUAGGGUAACGGCCUACCAAGGCGAUGAUCAGUAGGGGGCGUGAGAGCGUGGUCCCCCACACGGGUACUGAGACACGGACCCGACUCCUACGGGAGGCAGCAGUAAGGAAUAUUGGACAAUGGCCGCAAGGCUGAUCCAGCCAUCCAGCGUGCAGGAAGAAGGCCCUAUGGGUUGUAAACUGCUUUUAUCAGGGAAUAAACCUCUGGAUUCACUCCGGAGCUGAAGGUACCUGAAGAAUAAGCACCGGCUAACUCCGUGCCAGCAGCCGCGGUAAUACGGAGGGUGCGAGCGUUAUCCGGAAUUACUGGGUUUAAAGGGUGCGUAGGCGGCUUUGUAAGUCAGGAGUGAAAGUUUGCAGCUCAACUGUAAAAUUGCUUUUGAUACUGCGAGGCUAGAAUUAGGAUGAGGUCAGCGGAAUGUGGCAUGUAGCGGUGAAAUGCAUAGAUAUGCCAUAGAACACCAAUUGCGAAGGCAGCUGGCUAGACCUGGAUUGACGCUGAGGCACGAAAGCGUGGGGAGCGAACAGGAUUAGAUACCCUGGUAGUCCACGCCCUAAACGAUGCUUACUCGACGUAUGGCACUAGUUGUUGUGCGUCCAAGGGAAACCGUUAAGUAAG
rnacentral:rRNA from 1 species